rnacentral:rRNA from 1 species
AGAGCUUGCUCUCGGGUGACGAGCGGCGGACGGGUGAGUAAUGUCUGGGAAACUGCCUGAUGGAGGGGGAUAACUACUGGAAACGGUAGCUAAUACCGCAUAACGUCGCAAGACCAAAGUGGGGGACCUUCGGGCCUCAUGCCAUCAGAUGUGCCCAGAUGGGAUUAGCUAGUAGGUGGGGUAAUGGCUCACCUAGGCGACGAUCCCUAGCUGGUCUGAGAGGAUGACCAGCCACACUGGAACUGAGACACGGUCCAGACUCCUACGGGAGGCAGCAGUGGGGAAUAUUGCACAAUGGGCGCAAGCCUGAUGCAGCCAUGCCGCGUGUAUGAAGAAGGCCUUCGGGUUGUAAAGUACUUUCAGCGAGGAGGAAGGCGUUAAGGUUAAUAACCUUGGCGAUUGACGUUACUCGCAGAAGAAGCACCGGCUAACUCCGUGCCAGCAGCCGCGGUAAUACGGAGGGUGCAAGCGUUAAUCGGAAUUACUGGGCGUAAAGCGCACGCAGGCGGUCUGUCAAGUCGGAUGUGAAAUCCCCGGGCUCAACCUGGGAACUGCAUUCGAAACUGGCAGGCUAGAGUCUUGUAGAGGGGGGUAGAAUUCCAGGUGUAGCGGUGAAAUGCGUAGAGAUCUGGAGGAAUACCGGUGGCGAAGGCGGCCCCCUGGACAAAGACUGACGCUCAGGUGCGAAAGCGUGGGGAGCAAACAGGAUUAGAUACCCUGGUAGUCCACGCCGUAAACGAUGUCGACUUGGAGGUUGUGCCCUUGAGGCGUGGCUUCCGGAGCUAACGCGUUAAGUCGACCGCCUGGGGAGUACGGCCGCAAGGUUAAAACUCAAAUGAAUUGACGGGGGCCCGCACAAGCGGUGGAGCAUGUGGUUUAAUUCGAUGCAACGCGAAGAACCUUACCUACUCUUGACAUCCAGAGAACUUAGCAGAGAUGCUUUGGUGCCUUCGGGAACUCUGAGACAGGUGCUGCAUGGCUGUCGUCAGCUCGUGUUGUGAAAUGUUGGGUUAAGUCCCGCAACGAGCGCAACCCUUAUCCUUUGUUGCCAGCGGUCCGGCCGGGAACUCAAAGGAGACUGCCAGUGAUAAACUGGAGGAAGGUGGGGAUGACGUCAAGUCAUCAUGGCCCUUACGAGUAGGGCUACACACGUGCUACAAUGGCAUAUACAAAGAGAAGCGACCUCGCGAGAGCAAGCGGACCUCAUAAAGUAUGUCGUAGUCCGGAUUGGAGUCUGCAACUCGACUCCAUGAAGUCGGAAUCGCUAGUAAUCGUAGAUCAGAAUGCUACGGUGAAUACGUUCCCGGGCCUUGUACACACCGCCCGUCACACCAUGGGAGUGGGUUGCAAAAGAAGUAGGUAGCUUAACCUUCGGGAGGGCGCUUACCACUUUGUGAUUCAUGACUGGGGUGAAGUCGUAACAAGGUAACCGUAGGGGAACCUGCGGUUGGAUCACCU